CCCGUUUGCUGAUAGCUGCUAACUGGAAAGGGGAUAAAAUCCCCACAGUUAGAGCGUGGCAAAUCAAAUUGCUAGAGUAUGCAGAAAUGGCUCAAUUAACAGAUAAUUUAAGGGGAAAUUCUAAACAGUUUGUGGAAAAAUGGGAAAAAUUCAGAAAAUAUUUGCAAGAAAAUGAUAAUAAUGAUGUAAUCUUCAUGGCAGCCUUGGAAUGAUUGGCUUAUAACAAAAAAAAUUAGAUAUAUAAGAAAUGGUGGUAUGAUUGGCUUUAUGAUGUACAAAAGAGAUAAUAAGAAUAUGAUGAGGAACGAUGGUACAUUUUUUUUUUGAAAAUAAUUUUUUAUUCAUUUUUCAUAGAAAUAUUAAGUCAUUCACAUUACAAAUAGUUCAACUUGUUUGACUUCCUUCCAACCCAUAAGUGGUAAAUUCUGUCAAUCCUAAUUCGUAUUUUCUAUUUACAACAGACUCGUCGCACUGUAGAGGUUAUAUUGCUACCCCUAACGCUCUCAUACCCAUGUAAUUUCCCUUAGCAUACUCUAUAAAUUUACUCCAUUCAGCUUGGAACUUCACAUCAUCCGAAUCACGUACUCUGUGUGUUAAUUUGGUUAAUUCCAUAAAUUCUAAAACCUUCGAUUGCCACUCGAUUAUAGAUGGUAUUUCAUUUGUUUUCCAUUUCUGGGCGAUGAGAAUCCUAGCUGCCACUGUGGCGUACAUAAAGAAUCUUAAAUCGGAUUUUGGGAUUUCAUUAUCGACUAGACCCAACAGAAAGGCCUCGGGCUUCUUCGGAAAGUUUUGACCACAUAUCGGAUGGGAUAUUGUGCCCGAAAUCUCUGGCCCAUUUGAUCAUAGAAUCCUUAACAGCCUCAUCCAUGGUGUACCAGUCCAAGAAGUUAACAUAAAUAACCUAUGAAGAAGGAAACAAGAAGCAAGAACUUGGGAAAAC